rnacentral:rRNA from 1 species
GAUGAACGCUAGCGGCAGGCUUAACACAUGCAAGUCGAGGGGUAACAUUGGUUGCUUGCAACCAGAUGACGACCGGCGCACGGGUGCGUAACGCGUAUACAAUCUACCUUAUACAGGGGGAUAGCCUUUGGAAACGAAGAUUAAUACCCCAUAGUAAGUAACUAUGGCAUCAUUAUUACUUUAAAGAUUUAUCGGUAUAAGAUGAGUAUGCGUUCUAUUAGCUAGAUGGAGAGGUAACGGCUCCCCAUGGCGACGAUAGAUAGGGGUCCUGAGAGGGAGAUCCCCCACACUGGUACUGAGACACGGACCAGACUCCUACGGGAGGCAGCAGUGAGGAAUAUUGGACAAUGGAGGCAACUCUGAUCCAGCCAUGCCGCGUGCAGGAAGACUGCCCUAUGGGUUGUAAACUGCUUUUAUACAGGAAGAAUAAGGAGUACGUGUACUCUGAUGACGGUACUGUAAGAAUAAGCACCGGCUAACUCCG